UACUUGGUCCUAAUCUAUUCUAAGGUCUUUUAGAACAAAUGUAACUCCCACUAUUUUCUCGAAUCCCUCACACUCCUCUGGUAGGAAAACGGAAAUCCCACACGACUAGGGUUUCUAGUGGGUACUGCGGUCCCACCAAUUUACAUGCCACCUCACCUAACAGUUAUUGGUGACACAUAGAUUGAUGAAUGUACAACUCUUGUACAAUACUUCUCAAGCAUGUUGCAGUGUAACUUGGUCUCUAAGUCAUGAAGACCUCACCUAACAGUUAUUGGUCCCAUUUCUUAGUUAAGUCAGACCCACCGUAUAACCGUAGGAAUAAAGUCGUCAUUGGGUCCUCACCUAACAGUUAUUGGUGCCCAACCCCACCUUUACCCUACAACAUCUCAUGUCUAUAGAGAGGUCCA
rnacentral:lncRNA from 1 species